GUGAAUUAAACAUGCUUGGUGUCUUCGCUUCGGCAAGGCCCUUGCUUAAAUCACAUCCCAACACCUGUGAACUGUAAGACGUAUGAUGAGGUCUUUGGCCAAGUCAUCGUCUGCCCAUUUUUAACAAACAAUUAAUGUAACAAACGUAGUCUUAUUAUAACCUAAUA
rnacentral:misc_RNA from 1 species